CAAGUACUCCCUCCGUUCGGAAUUACUUGUCUCGGAAAUAAAUGUAUCUAGUUCUAGAUACAUUUAUUUCCGAGACAAGUAAUUCCGAACGGAGGGAGUAGAGU
rfam:Triticum aestivum genome assembly, contig: Triticum_aestivum_CS42_TGACv1_scaffold_000581_1AL